GAUGAACGCUGGCGGCGUGCUUAACACAUGCAAGUCGAACGAAGCACUUAAUGAGAUUUCUUCGGAUUGAUUAUUUUGUGACUGAGUGGCGGACGGGUGAGUAACGCGUGGGUAACCUGCCCCAGACCGGGGGAUAACAGUCGGAAACGACUGCUAAUACCGCAUAAGCGCACAGUGCCGCAUGGCACGGUGUGAAAAACUCCGGUGGUCUGGGAUGGACCCGCGUCCGAUUAGUUAGUUGGCGGGGUAACGGCCCACCAAGACCGCGAUCGGUAGCCGACCUGAGAGGGUGACCGGCCACAUUGGGACUGAGACACGGCCCAGACUCCUACGGGAGGCAGCAGUGGGGAAUAUUGCACAAUGGAGGAAACUCUGAUGCAGCGACGCCGCGUGAGCGAAGAAGUAUUUCGGUAUGUAAAGCUCUGUCAGCAGGGAAGAUAAUGACGGUACCUGACCAAGAAGCCCCGGCUAACUACGUGCCAGCAGCC
rnacentral:rRNA from 1 species